AACAUAAAGAGUGACAGGCGUUAAAGUAGAUGUGGGUCAUGGGAGGAUUCACAGGGAGCGACGGCUCAAGUUUAUGGGCAAGGAAGGUUGAUGGGAAAGUCUUCCCAGAAAAGGUGACUUGAAAUUGAGUAGAUACUUCACAGGCAGGGAUGGAGGUGGGAAAGAAGAGUGAAUUCUAAGCAAAGACAACAGCAGGAGGCAGAAAUAUGAUGGAAUAAGGAGCCCUCCAUCUGUGGGGAGUUGUCCUGUGGUCAGCACAGCAGAGCCAGAGGGCCAACGAUACAAGCAGCGGGGAUAAAAAUAUGACCACCACAUCCCAGAAAGCUCUAGGCAGAGCAUUUCUAACCGCCAUCUAUUUAGCAGCUCUCCCGAUCUCUUUUGGCUUUUUUUGGAAGAAAACCCAGAGGCUUUAUCUUCAUGAUCUCUUUUGAUCCUUGCUAUAUGCCUAUGAGAUAGUUAUUCCUAUUCUUUUCCAGAGAAGGCCCAAAGAGGUUAAGUUGCUUCUAGGUAGAACAAUGACAACUGGGACCCCAGCCUGGCCCAUCUGAAACCAUGCUGUCCACCACGUUCUUAACUCUCAUGCUCUGUCUAAUUUUGCAAAUGAUUUCAAACUUUUGACUACAACAUAAAUUUCAAUUGGCAAGACAUGUAUGUCUACAACUGAAACAACUAUUUUACGAAGCAACAUAUAUACUCUUGUAAUGGUUUCCUUUCUCGUCCCUUUUAAGAAAAUCUCUGGUUGUAGCUUUUAAGGAGGAGCAAGUGGUCAGCAGUGCCAGUGCCGCUGCUAAGUCAUGUGGGCUGAGAGUGAAGUCUGCCUUUGGACUGAACCUUUGCGGCCCUGGGGAAGAGCACCACGCCCAGGGGCAGAAGCUGGACCAGAGGCACAGAAGAGGCAUUAGAGACAGAAACAUAAAGACACGUCUCAAGGAGUUCUGCUUUACACAGGAGUUGAGGCAGAGGCUGCAGGGGAAGUACAGUCAAGAAAGAUGAUGAGACUCUUAAAUAUACCCUAGAAAAGAAGUUCUUUCUACAAAGCAUCCCCUUCAUAACUGCCUAUCAUGACACAGCAACCAAGAAACACAAAAGCUUGUGCUGGGGACAGUCAACUGGUGAUUUCCUGCUAGACUUUCUCAACUCACAGGAUGAUGAAAUGGCCUGGUGUUGCAAUGCAGUUAUGACUUUGGGUGAAAACACAGGGCAUCCAAGAUAGAAGUGGCCAAAGACAGUGGUGCCCAGCAAGAAGUUGUUCCUACAAAGGAAAUUGCAGUUUCUAAGAUGAAGAGGAAGUCAAGAGGGAGAAUUAAGUGUCUUAAGAACUUGAGAAAAUACUGAAGAAACUACUUGUGGUCUCACAUCUAUUUAAAGCCUUACAUAGUAUAUUCAGGUUAUCAUUAGUUAUAAAUUUGAAACUUUGCCAAUGCAGUUUAGGGUAAAGCUCACCCAUAGAAGUCAAAUCAUGUCUGUUAGGGGCUGCUGUUCUCCUCUAUUCCUUGCAGAAAGCUCUUCUGGAAAAAUGUAUGGUGAUGAUAUUGACUGAAGGGACAGAGGAAGACCACUCUCACUCAUCUGCCCCUACACAGUUAAGAGUCCUGGUCAGCUUCCUCUUCAUUUUACAAUGCCCUGCAUUGCCCUCUUCACACACAAACCCUCAUACAAUAAGCGUCUAGUCUCUGUAAUAAAUGGCAACUUCUAGAGUUUAUUUCCACUUGCCCGUAAAAUGUACCCAAGUCACAAAGACCACACUACUAGUCAGUUCCUUGGCAUUAAAUGAAUUAACACAAAUUAUCAUCCUAUCUCCUCCAUCUGUAAACAACAGAAACUCAAUGGAAACUUCAUAUCCCACCCCCCAUCUCCCUUUUUAAUUUUUUUUUACCAUGUCCAGAAUUCUUUUCCUGAUGCUUAGAAAUAUUCGCACAACAGACCUUUUCCACCAUUAAGCAAGAAACAGUAUUGCAUAUAUGUUUUUAGUCAAUAAUAGGCUUUAAAAAUAUUUAAUAGUGGUAUUAACAAGAAGGACAGUAUUAAGUUUUUCAUAAAAGACCACAUGUGACUUUUCCUGUAUCUAGAGUGUGUGACCACGUCGAUUUUCUAUCAAGACCCACAGCAUGUUCACCUCUGCAAGACGAUGUGAGGCACCAAGGACCUGCUUUUUACCCUAAUUUCCGAAAUCUUGUUUGGUACUAUUUCACUCUAAAUGACCUGCACUCAAGAGUGAGAUCUCCCUCACAAAACCACCUUUCCGACGUCUCAACUCCUUUUGACUCUGUUAAUAACCACUGAUAUCACCAUCCUAGAAUUUCUAAUUUGGCUUUGGAAUCACUGUGUUCUUACAAUCUCCACCUGCCUUUCUCACCUUCAUUCACUUAACAAACACUGAUGAACAACAAGUGCUCUGCUCGACGCUGCAGCACAAACACGAAGACAGACGUGGGCUAGUUAUGGACAGGGAAUCAUCUGUUACAACAGAGUGUGCUACAUGCCAUGGAAGGAGGAAGGACAAAGUGCUAUAAGCCAAAAAGGAAGGCCAUCUCAGACUCCUUCACACGCUCUGACGUACAGAACUGGGACCUGGGGCUCCCAACAAGCAGACGCCUUGACUGUGGUACUUUCCAAAGGAGAGAUGCUGUCAACGUUUGGGACUAACAGUGUUCCAACACAAUGAUAACAGAGGUGAUAUGAAUACUUCAUCUAAUGUGCCACAAAUAAUAUAAAAACAGAACUCUACUAAAAAUCUAUAGAAGUAAAAUGCCUCAUUCUCAUUACCAGAUGUCCAGGAAACCCCACUCACACUGAGUUAAUGUCUUAAGAUGAAAAUAAAUUGUACAAAAAUGUUAAUUCUAAUUACCUCCAGCUAGAGAGACUAUAGAAAAGUUGUGAUUAUCAGUUAAUAAUGCAGAGAAAACUCAAAAAAAAGAGGUGUGUGUGUAUCCUACAUCCUAACUUCUUAAACGUAAAUAACUAUGGGCAGGACAAAAACCCAUAAAAAAGAAAGAAAUAUAUUACAUGACAACAAAAUCUUUAAAAUUUUCCUACUGAUAUAAAGGUGAGAAAGUGCUCUAGAACUGAGAAAUUCUUAUGAGACAAUCUAAGCCAAUGACAUUCCAUAUUUACAGACAACUACAGAGAGCACAGGUGUGAAUGUAUUUAAUCAUCUUCUCUUCACAAGAUUGCUGUGAGGCAGAUAUAACGAGAUCUUAGCCUUAAACCUUCAUCUUAAAUUAAGAAAAUCUGUGUUAGGUCCUGUCUCCUGCCACCACAGGAAAAUGGGCCAAACUCAGGAGUGAACGUACCUGUAAACCUAUCAUUUUGGACAUACAGUUAUUUGGGAAAAAAAUAAGAUAAUCACUCAAUAUUUAUUUCUUUAAAAUUAAAAAAUAAAAUGAAAUGGUCUGCCCAAAGCCCAGUUUACUUGUUAACAGAUCUGAUAAAUAAGGAUGGCGAUUCUUACCAGGGUGGAGAGCAAAGACUGUCAGCAUAAAAUACGUGUAAGCCACGAACAUUUUAGUGAGUAAACACAAAUCCACUGAAUCACAGAUACGCGUAUUUAUAUUUAAUGUCCUCUAAUAUCAUUUACUAACCUUAAUGCAGCUUUAAAACACUACAUCCUCAACACAUAAGAAAUCUCCUUUCCUUUCUUUCUCAUUUCCUCCCCAAAUUUUUUUCAGAACUCCAAAUUCCAGAUUUCAAAUCUCUUUCUUAUAAGUAAAAAAACAAAGGCACAUAUUUAUGGAAAUGAGUUUGAGGCUCUUUGAGCCUUCCUUCUUAGAAGCUCAGCUCAGUAAAAGAAGCAGAAAUCAUAUGGUGAGGAAAAUAAAUGCUAUCUUGCUCCAUCAUACCACAGAAAGAAUGCAACCCAUACCAAAGUGAAAUGAUGCAGUAAAAAUAAGAUAAAGGAAAGAAGUUUGACUUAAGCAAAUGCCCUCCUUCUCUUGGCCUUCCUAAACCCCUCCACACUCAGUGCUUUUUUCACGUAGACAUCCUAGAACCUAGUGGGAUAUCUUUAAGAACUAUAAGAUACACACUGAGCAGAGCACUGCACUGACGUCUCCAACACAGGCAAGAUAAGCACAAGUUCUGACUGGUGGCUAGGGAGUGGGUGUUGGGACGUGGAAACACAGUGGAAUGAUUUUCCCUCCCUUAGAUCCAAAUAGCAAGGUGUGUCAAGGCCCAGAAAUUUGGAUGGAAGACUCUAAGUAAAAGAUGAACAAGAAACAUGUUAGUAUAGAAAGUUUAAUGUGUUCCCUUACAAUCCCCGUUGAUCAAUUCACAUUUCCCCCAUUCCUUAAUUUCCUACUUAUUUAAGAAUCAAAACCUUUUACAUGAGCACUCAACUUAAACUGAUGAGAAUACAAGGAGAUUCUUCUUCUCUUAGGAUCUAAAUCAAAGAUUCCAUUGUUGUCCUCAUCUGCCCUUUACCAGCAGAGUAAUGCUGGGCAAGGCUUUAAUUUGAGACUCAGCCAAAUUUUCCCACAGGCACAAUAGAGACAGUAAUGCCCACCUCAACAGGGCCACUGUGGAAACUGAAUGACAAAAAUAUACAUAAGCAAGAUCCUCUAGGACUCUGCAUAUCAGUUAGAAACCCACAUAACAGCAGAUGUCCUCACUGUACAAGUUUUAAAAACUGAAGCUCAACAUCCAAAUUUUCUAGGGCUUUAUGUAUAUACUGGUCUUAUUUUAGGUAUCAGAUGCAACCCUUCCCUGCCCCCACCUACCUCAAAUGUGCUGUCUACUCAGGAAUAUUUUUCAUCACAACUUCUCCUGGAAAUAUACGUUAUACAGAUCAUUACCACACGUUCAACCUAUGGGACGCAUUAGCUUUGUUAAUGAGCUCUCUACUUGGAAUUUAAUUAUCAUAUGAAAUUUUGGUAAUACAUUUUCAAAUGGCCAAGCCAUGUGAUCAUGCAUGCUUAUUACACAGUCAUUUCUUUAACUCUUUUCCUUAAUUAAGUACAGAAUCUUUCUUCACUUAGUUUUUCUCACAGAUGAAAAUUCCGAUGGUAUCAGGACACAUAUUUUGUUAAGCAUCCUCCACUACGAUAUGAAAGUUUCAGUACUGACAGAUACUCAGAGUGAGAAAUCAUGCUCUGAUCCCUCAACUUUAUUCUGUCACCCUCAUUAUAGGCGUAAAACUGUCUGAUAAAAGUAGAGAAAUUUAAGGGAAUAAAUACAGAAUAAAAAAUAUAAUAUCACCGAUUCUAUUUUCAUGAGAAUUGAAUGUUUAAACAGUUAUAUUUAGUUCUGCUUUCACCACAGAUACAGGUAUUUAACUCAUGAGUAUAUGAGUCUUGCCAGCAGUGUUUUCAAAAAAUCCCUGCCACUACCCAUCUGCCUGUCUUACCUCUACUCACUCAUUCACGAUGAUCCAGGCCCUCAGGAAACUUCAGUCCAGUUGGGGAGAAAGGCGCGUAAGGCAGUGCUUACUGGGAGCUAUGACAAAGGACACACUGGGAGCAAGAAGGGCACUGUGGUGACGUGAUACCCAAACCCUAGCUUUCGACUAGCGCUACGACGUGUCUCCUGAGGAAGGAGGGGAAGGAAGUAGUAUACUCCUUCCAGCAUUCAACAUUCUAAGGCUUUCUGAGAAAUUUAUGUGUAUUCAAUCUGCAUUAACAGUAUUUAAUACUGUUCAAAGGUCCUUGGAAGAGCAAUAAAUUAGUAUUUUUGCCAAAGGAAGAUUUGAUGGGGGAAAAAAAGUUUCUUCUGUUCAAGCUUUACUGGAAGCCCAGCGAAAGUAACCCAUGCAGAAAAAUGCCUGAAAGAAAUGUUUAUAUUAUAGCUUUUGCUAACAUGUUUGGUUUUAAAUACUUAAUAUAAGCCUGUAAAGGCAUAUGUUUAUGAUUUAUUUGCUUUGUUUGAUUAUUUUUUGAUAUAAAAUAUGUUCCCAUACCUAAAUGCCCCAUCAUCAUAAGUCUGAUGUGUGAUGUGACUGUCAUCCAUUAACUGGCCAAGCUGUUAGUACAUGGUGAGCAGCUGAGGACAAGGCAACCUGCCAGAUUCCAGAAAGGCAUUAAUGAAUAGGGCAGUGAUCAAUCACAAAAAAAGAAAUAUUAGCAGACAUCACCCCCCAAAAUCACAUAUUCCGACAGUAAUGCAAGACUUCUUUAAAACCUUUAUCAGUAUCAACAGAAACUUCAUAUCCUUGGUUAAGUACUAGAAUGAAAAAGAAAAAAAGUAAACUUCCGAGGAUCUAGUGAGCUAGUAUAAGGCAAGAUACGUUUGCUCACUCACUUACACAUACGCAAAUUAGUUUUGGAAAAAAAUUGUUUAAACGUAUAAUUUUCAGACAAAACUGCUCUAAUCAUUAGCUUUCUGUAUACUUACUGCAUUUUUAAUACAAAAGGGUCAGGGCAUUUCUGACAGUGGAAAACAAAGUUGGUAAGUGAGAAAAAAACCAAGAAACUAAGCAAGAACCAUUCAUUCCAAUGAGUGAAAGGAUGAAUAAAAUCCUUAAAGAUGGAUAUUUGAUAGUAUUUUUCUUGCUUCUAAUCCACCUCUUCCAGCUUUAAUUUGCAUAUGUGACUGAGAAAAGCACUUUCUGAAUACUGUGUGCUUUCUUCAGUGGCAUAACGCAACACCUUCCAUGACACAGUAGAGUUCAUGUGGCACCUACUAGAUACGUGUCUGGUAUGGUUAAGAGAGCAGUGAUAGUUCACCAAUUCAGACACGGAGAGUCAAUAAACAGACAAGAACGUGAUAUCG